CAGCCGUAAACUAUGCGCGUUAGGUGUAUCGGUGACCACGAGUCACCGAGGUGCCGAAGGGAAACCGUGAAACGUGCCGCCUGGGAAGUACGGUCGCAAGGCUGAAACUUAAAGGAAUUGGCGGGGGAGGCACAACAACGGGUGGAGCCUGCGGUUUAAUUGGACUCAACGCCGGGAAGCUCACCGGAUAAGACAGCGGAAUGAUUGCCGGGCUGAAGACUCUGCAUGACUAGCUGAGAGGAGGUGCAUGGCGUAGACGUCU
rnacentral:rRNA from 1 species